CUGUUCUUGUUCUUUACUUCAGUCGUUCCCGCUGACCGCUCUGUCACGCCAACUUGUCUGUCAGAGUUCAGACAAUUGGACAUCGCGAAGUAUAAAAAGGUGUAAAUUUUAAGUGCAGUGAAUUAUUUGUGAAAUUCCAAAGAUUAUUGUAGUAGAACUGGAACUGUAGAGCUGCGAAUACCCUUUAAUGGGCUUAUUGCAUAUCUGACUGAAUAUCUAAGUAAGAUAAAAGCAAGAAAUAAACAGUUAAAAGCGUAAUUAAUUGUUCAAUAUAAAAUACUUUUUUUUUCAUCUGAAUGCAUUCGCGAAUUUGUUUUAGUAGUUAAUGCAAUCUACUUUGCCAUGUAAAACAGCGCUUCACGGUUGUUUGUGUGCCGCAACAUGGCGUAUGAGUGAUGCUAUAAAUUACCUCAGAUUCGUUCUAUGCGAUUUUGCCAAUGAGCUGCCUAUUGAUGACUCUGCAGCAGCAGCAGCAACAACAAUAACAAAAACAACAACAACUACAACAACAACUGCAACAGCAACAUGCACGUAGGGGUCAUUAUGUUAGAUUUGAAUUUCUAUGCCAUGGUCUGGGACGCCAGCAGCUGGGCCCGAGAGCUAAAUACAAUGACACGAAAAAAACUUAAUGAUAAAACACACUCCAAGCCACAGACAACAAACAAAUAAACAAAGCACCCAGCGAUGGAUAUAUGGACAAUGUUUCCCUCCUAAAAGCACUUGGCAAUUAAUUAUGCUUGUGAAUAUGAAAUGUUCGUACAAUACGAAUGCAUAUCGAAUCCUACGGGCCAAUUUGGAAGAUAAUAAGGCGAUAAAAACGUGAUAUUACUGAAUAUUUGAG